GAUUUACGUCCAAUUCGACAGUUGUUCACUCAUACAUUGUAUUACAGGUGUCACAAACAGACCUACGCAUUGCGCUUAACUAAUAAUAGAGUUAAACUUAAUUGAGAUGGUCAGCUAAAAGCAUGAAUUGUUAUCCGAAAUUUUGUGUUUCAAUUGUCGGUCCACACGCCGUUCCCUAUGUCUUCCUGAAAAAACCCCAGAGAUACCGCAAACUAAGAUCACAAAUUUACGACAAGCAAAAAUACUUCAGCUUCUCCGUCGUUAACUUCCCACAUUUGUGUAGAAGUUUUAUUUUCACUUGCUUAUGAAAAGUGAAGAUAACGAACAGUGAUCAAUCUCAUAACUCCUACAAGCAAUACAAAAUAGAUAGUUGGGCAAACACGGACCCCUGGACACAUCAGAAGUGGGAUCAGGUGCCCAGGAGGAGCAAGCAUCCCCCGUCGACCGGCCACACCCGCCGUGAGCAUAUGGUAUUUAUUUUUCUCAACCAAUUCAAUACCCGAGAGCAUGUUCUAGGUAUGAUUAAAUCAAAUCGAGGCAGCUUACUGACAAAUAAGUUGAUGUUUAUGGGGUUUCAACAGUCUUGCUUAAAAAGUUCCCAGGGGAGAAAAAUAUGUUUGAUUUGGGGGGGAUCACAUGUGGGAACAAUUACUUGGAUCCAACAAUUAUAAUUUCUGCUAAAUAUCGUACUCGCCAUGCAGUAUAUCUAAGUCUUAAAAUACCAUUGAAGUUAUUCCGAAAAGAACACAUAAAUUGAAAAAGAUACUAUGUAAAAAUGAUAAUGAUACAUUGAUAUAGUGACAUCAUUUGGCCUCGCCUUCUAUGGACCUUAACAUGAUUUUCCGUAAACAGUAACAAAUCUGUUUUGUUUUGUCGAGGAUCAAAACUUAAGUAUGCACAUUAAAUAUAAGAGAGAAAUACAAUCAAUUCAACAUCGAAAUACGUUCAAGAUGUCGCGUUGCCGUCUGAACAUUGUGACUUGUCGUCUAAAAACCUUUUUGAAAAUAUCAGGCGAGACAAAAUUUGAUCUAAUGAUAGGUCGUUUAGUUGCAUAUAAGAUCAUUAAAACAACCACAGAAUUUGCGAAAUGAUGACUCUAAACAAGACCUUUGAAACCCAUAUAACAUCAACUUAUUUCACAGUAGCCUACAUUUGCAUUUCAAUGAAUCAAAUUCCAUAAUAUCCGUUUUUAUACAUAAAAUCAUAAGGUAUGAAAUUUUAUUCAUUUUAUACGAUAAAAGAAGUAAAUUGGGACAGUUUACGCUCUUUUAUAAACCACUUACUACCACAAAUUACUUUACAUCGUAUGAAAUGAAUACAAAUACUUUCAUUCCUUAAAUAUUUGAUAUUGCGAUGUCAAGUUUUUCAAGUUUUAUUUUUUCUCAUUCGCUGUUAACACAACAUAGAGAACAUAUUAAACAAGCAUUCAAAAACAAUAUUCACGCAUGCACAAGUAAUACAUAUAAAUAUAUAUCACAAUCUUGAUAAUAAAUAAGUACAAUGAUAGACUAUAUAUACAUUUAACCCAGAGGGUUUAAUAACUCUCUCGUUAAUUAAUUGUAUGUAUUUACACAAUUUUGAAAGUAAUUUUUCAUUUUUGGUUGCAAAUAGAUUAUGAAAUUUUAUAACAUUAGGUCUAGUAUGAAAUAUUUCUGGUAUAUAAUGUCGCCUAAUAUCAUUUAAAGCAGGACAAAUAAGAAUACAAUACAUCUCAUCUCCAAUAUCAGAAGUGCAAAUAUUACAUUUUCUUUGAUUUCGAUCUAUAUCUAGGUCACAGUAGUUCUACAUUCUUUCUGAUCGGAUGAACUGCGGCAUAUACACAAAUACAUUUCUGCAUUUGUACUACAUAUUGUACUCAUAUAUUCAGUAUUAUCUUGAUUGCACAAAACAAGCGAUAAAACACAUACAUAUGUACCUUUAAACUUAACAUGGGCAGAUAAGUGGUGUGGUAUAUGGUUGACCUUAUCGUAUUCAAUCAAAAAUAGAUCCACGUGUUUAAACUUCCCAGUGCUCUGUAGAGUAUCUCUUUCUUCCUAGUUGACUGAGCGACACAAAAGGACACAAGACUCUCAGUGGAAGAAGUAUGUCCUCAUCCACUUCAGAGUGUUCCUGUCAUGGCGAAGAAACAAGGUUUUUUUGCCAUACAUGUGAUAGGCGAGUCUGUGAUGAAUGCAUUGUCGAUAACUGUAGAAAUCACAACAUCGCCAAGGCGGAGAGACCCAUCGAAGAAAAACGAGCGUCGAUGACUCAAAAACUACAUCAGUUCCAAAGAGAUUAUCAUCCACGACUCUCAGAAGAUUUAGAAAAUAUGGCAGCAUACAGCGAACAGAUUCAAGUUGAGAUAGACAGUGCAAUGAAACGAGCCGACCAACUAAAAGAAACGAUCGACAAAGUAUGCAGUGAACUAGUGCAGGAAUUGAUUACUUCAAAAGAAGAAAAUGAUAACUUCCUAAAAAGAGAAAAGGAGGAUGCAGCAGAAAUUGAAACAUUUAUUUCCGAAUCUCUAUUGUCCAUAUCUUCAGCGGAUGAAACAAGAAUUGAUGAUGUAGAGCGUAGAUUACAAGAAAUGCAAUCACAAACAAGAGGUUCGGGAAAACAGAAUGACGCGCCAAGGUUUGUGACAUCUACUUCGAAAGAUACAUUUUCCACAUUGAAAUCUUUGUUUGGGGAAGUGCGUUAUGGUCUUUACGAGAAAAUUUCGGAUGAUGACACAUCGAAUCAAUCUGAUGACGACGAUUAUUUGGUUCCUGUUGCACCUGCUCCGGAAAUACCUCUGAAGAAUUUUCAGUCUCAGGUCUGCUUAAAACUGAAUUUUACACCAAGGUGUUUGGCUGUUGCAAAGGGAGUUCUUUUUCUGUCAUCGGAAUCCGAUAUUCAUGAAGUGAAAAGCAAGGAAAAAAUCGUCCGGUUAAAAACUGAUGCAGAUUUUCAGAUAAAAGGAUUUAUUGCUUUGUCUACACAUGAAAUUCUUAUUUUUUCCGAGCUAAAACCAGGAAUAUUCAAACUACAUCAAAAACACAGGCACCCUCUUCUUCCGAAAGAUAGACAUUUACAUGCUUCAUCGUUCGUUGAUCCAACACCGUAUCAUUCGACGUGCAUGAGUUUAUGCCAGUCUGAGAAAGACAUUUUAGUAGCUUUACAAUCAAACUCCUUGCAGGAUAUGUCUGUCAAGCUACAAAAAUAUCCCCUGUACCAGGAUACAGAUUUCAAAUUUGAAAACGUCCCUCUCUCUAGCGAAUUGAAUUUGACCAAAAUCACUGGAGUUGCGGAGACACCUAAGGGAGACGUGUGUUUUAUCGACGAAACCAGUUUUAACUCUUCUUAUGCUGUUUGUGUGGAUAGCACCGGGAAAUUGCGCUUUCGUUAUCCAGCAGACGAUAAAAUCAAAAGAUAUUUUGUGGGAAUCUGUGUGUUAAAAAGUGGCGUUAUCGCUUUGGCAGACUCUUGCAUCAUGUCUGGUAUUCAUUUAAUAGGAAACGAUGGUAAAUUGAUUUACUUAGAACGAAAACAGAUGAAACCAACUUGUCUGGCGACAGAAGAAGAUUUCAUCUGGGUGGGAUACUGUGACAAAACAGUUGAAAAAUUAGCCAUGUCGAAAUAGAUAGGGAACUCAAAUCAAACCAGCGAUCCUCAUUCCUCUCUUAUAUUAUUGAUUGUGCUAGUAAGAAGGUAAUGAAUGCUAAGAAACACCAUUAUAUUGAUAUUCCGCCACAAUAUCGUUUUAUACUAUAUCGUUUUAUUAGCACUGGUGCGAUAUAUAUAUAUAUAUAUAUAUAUAUAUAUAUAUAUAUAACGCAGCAUAAAAAGUAAACCUUAACUAGUACCGCAGGGAAACCGAGACAUCCACCUUAUGUCAUUUGAUAUCUUCUUUACUCUCUUCUGAGCUCAUACCUUGCACAAAAAGAAAGGAGGCAACUAGGAUAACCAUUGAGGUCGUUAUUUCUGAGGAGAAAAGAAGAAAAUAUCGUAAUUUAUUAAAUGUCAGCAAUCUGCGGUGGCAAGGAAGAACAAAUGUAUAACAUGUGUAUGUACCACGUAUUGUAGGGGAAGGUUGAUGAUAUACCUCACUCGCUCCCCCCUACACGGUAUUUAAUUUAAACAAUAUUUUUUAUGUAUAAAACAUAAAUGGAUUAGACAACAGGCGUGGCACCCGCAUGUAUGAACUCCUACAAACUCUUAUGACAUUUGUGCAUUCAUUUUCUGUUGUUUCUAGGUACCUUGCAUAAGCAUGUGGAUACAGCCGAAUCAUUGUGAAUGCGCAGCAUAUUUUGUAUUGUUAAGUUUUUAAAAUGGAUCAUAUUGUUGAAAUUUUAGAUGGAUCCAGUCUGUCAAAAGCCAGCCCCGACUAUAUCACUGCGUUGAGUAGGAGCUGGUUUUAGUCAGACUGGUAUGCACCCUCACGUCGCUGUUGGCCCUUGAUUUAUGAAUAAACAACUUCUUUUCUAUGGAAUUUCUACGGAGUAAUAUCUUGAAUUUUGUCAUGCAAGUCGUAUAUUAAACAAAGAAUGUUGAAAUGCAAGUUGCAUAGUUUUAGAUAGUGUUGAAUUCUUAUCAAAAAAAAUAAGAAAAUAAAGUUUUAUAAAACAUGAACAUUGGAAUUAUGAGAAAAGGUUAGCAAACCAACGUGUACAUGUACAUGCACGUGAAGAUUACAAGUUAGUAUCACUGGUACGUGUUUACAAUACAUUUAUUUGCACAAUCGUUUUCAAAUCCAUGGCUUACGGACAAUUUACCUGGAGUGACUUGAUUUUACAGAAUUCUAUAUUUAUCGACACGUCUAUCAAAAUCCCCUAACUAUCUGUAACAAAAGAAAUACCUCUCAGAAUAAACUUGAAAUCAUGUCAUGUAAACUUUGCAGUUCUAUUUCACAAUACACAAGAGAUUGUAAUGAGAUAAUGAAUCGUAUGAGACAAUGAAUCACCACGCAUUUCAAAAGUAGAUGAAAACAUUCCUUAUUUAAAUUAAUGUGCAAUAUCUAUUUUUAUGAAACUGUGACGAUAGGUCGUUUUCUCUGACGACGAACGCUGGAAAUGGCUGGCUCCUUUGAGGAACUGUUGAAAGAGAUGCAAGCAAUCCACGUAAAGCUAAACAGACAAGAAGAAGUUUUAAGCGUUAUAUCAGGAAAACUAGACCAACCAGUAAAAAUUGAUAACAACAUUCGCUACUGUCGUCAUGGUUACGAGGCCAGUGACGAGACGUCAACUGAUUCGUUGUCAUGUUGUUCGAAUACCGAAAGCACAGGUAUGUACCAAGGUAUACACAGAAUCGACAUAUGAUACGUUUUUGAAGUCGGAACACAUGAAAUUUGUGGAGCGUUUACAUAUCAACUCCGUAUUGGACAACCUGUUGGAAGAUCAUGUUCUAUCGCCAUCAGAUCACGAGAACAUCCGACAGCUGAACCACAACCGAAAAGAUCAGGUUCGCUUUCUUCUAAUGCGUCUUCGUCGGUAUGGUCCAUAUGUAUUUCAGCGCUUCAAGAAAACCCUCGAUAAGACAGACAUUGAAUGCAAAAAUUCCAUUUCUGAUGAUCAGCUGCACAGGAAAUGUACAAAUUUAGAAUGUGUCUUUUGCCUCAUAGCAAAACGUGUUGACGUCAGAGAUUCCAUAGAUCUGCUCUACAGCAAGGGCUUGGUACAUCAGGGAACAAUGGAAGCCAUGUUGUGCUGCCUCCUACCGUCGGAAACUAUCUGGAAAAUGGCUUUCAUGAAUAUUCGUGAACAUGGAGACCUACAAAAACAUAUCGAAACAAUACAAGAAGCUAUACCUAAACAGUACUCAGACAUUAAAGAAAACCUGCAUCACGUGCAUGAAUUACACAUGUGCAAUUCGUGUCAAGGUGUGAAACUUUUUUCAACAUUCAAAAACAACCAGAACACUAGCAAGUUUGACACCUUGCCCACGGUGUGUAAAGAAGAAGCGUCAGUGUCGAUUAAAUUUUCAAAUCAAGCUAGUACUAUGGGAAAAGAUAAAAGAUUCGGAGGACGGUCGGAAAGUGACGAAUGUGAGGAUGGCUUUAAAAACAUAACAUCAGAAGAACAAGACAGAGAAAAUGAAGAUAUAGUGGAGCUCAGAUCGAAGAAAUCUGACCAUAGAAGAUUUGGAUUUGCUCCGGAGUCUAUGAGCAGCACCGGUACACAAACUCUAGACGAUUUGUUGCGUUUCCACGAAGAUUGGCUUGAUUCAGGUGACUCUACAGUUACUAGUACUUCAAAGAGAGACCUGCGCCGCACGCAAUCAGACGGAGGAGAUACAAAUCAUAUUCUUUCUUCCAUUCGUAUCCGUCGAAGUCAGUCUGACCGAAAGAAGAAAGAAACCACACACAAAUCACAACAAUUAGGAAGAUCUCUAUUUCAAAACCGGGAAAAAGUACUUUCUCCGUCAAACACCAGGAAAAAACUUAAUUUGUGUCCAUCAGGAAAACAAUCUCAACCAGAAACAAGUCCUUUGCAUUACAGAAGAAAUAAUGUCCAUGAUCCUCCCAUUCCUCCGUCAAAUAUUGAGAAAGAACCGUAUCCAUUUAGGACGACGGUUCAGCGAUCAUAUAGCGACAGAAGAGAGAUCCGCAGAUCCCCUGAAAGGAGGAGGAGACAUACGCUGUCCGGAGCGCAUUACACCGUGAACAUUGAUCAACAGUUUUAGUGAUUAUAACCUUCAUGCCAUAUAGUUAGUCUCUUCUUUACUAUCGGAAGUAAAUGUCCAAAACAUGAAUGGUUGUGGGGUGAUAAAAUUACUGAAUAAAACAAUUCCUUUACUGUCCAUUAUCACCCUUGCUUUAUAUUAAUUCAUUCGAAUAAUAAAUUCAUGGCAUAUAAUACAA